rnacentral:tRNA from 1 species
GUCAUGAUGGUUUACACAUUCGCCUAACAAGUGAAAGGUCGCUGGUUUGAUUCCAGCUGGAGACA